rnacentral:rRNA from 1 species
UAUUGAUCUCAAAUCAGGUAAGACUACCCGCUGAACUUAAGCAUAUCAAUAAG